rnacentral:rRNA from 1 species
CCUACGGGCGGCAGCAGUGAGGAAUAUUGGUCAAUGGCCGAGAGGCUGAACCAGCCAAGUCGCGUGAGGGAAGACGGCCCUACGGGUUGUAAACCUCUUUUGUCGGGGAGCAAAGAGAGUCACGUGUGACUCAUUGAGAGUACCCGAAGAAAAAGCAUCGGCUAACUCCGUUCCAGCAGCCGCGGUAAUACGGAGGAUGCGAGCGUUAUCCGGAUUUAUUGGGUUUAAAGGGUGCGCAGGCGGAGGUGCAAGUCAGCGGUAAAAUUGCGGGGCUCAACCCCGUAGUGCCGUUGAAACUGGUUUCCUUGAGUGCGCGAGAAGUAUGCGGAAUGCGUGGUGUAGCGGUGAAAUGCAUAGAUAGCACGCAGAACUGCGAGUGCGAAGGCAGCAUACCGGCGCGCAACUGACGCUCAUGCACGAAAGCGUGGGUAUCGAACAGGAGUAGAUACCCUUGUAGUC